AGUGAACGCUGGCGGUAGGCCUAACACAUGCAAGUCGAACGGCAGCACAGUAAGAGCUCGCUCUUACGGGUGGCGAGUGGCGGACGGGUGAGGAAUACAUCGGAAUCUACUUUUUCGUGGGGGAUAACGUAGGGAAACUUACGCUAAUACCGCAUACGACCUACGGGUGAAAGCAGGGGAUCUUCGGACCUUGCGCGAUUGAAUGAGCCGAUGUCGGAUUAGCUAGUUGGCGGGGUAAAGGCCCACCAAGGCGACGAUCCGUAGCUGGUCUGAGAGGAUGAGCAGCCAGACUGGAACUGAGACACGGUACAGACUCCUACGGGAGGCAGCAGUGGGGAAUAGUGGACACUGGGCGCAAGCCUGAUCCAGCCAUACCGCGUGAAUGAAGAAGGCCUUCGGGUUGUAAAGCCCUUUUGUUGGGAAAGAAAAGAAGCAGGUCAAUACCCCGCUGUUCUGACGGUACCCAAAGAAUAAGCACCGGCUAACUUCGUG
rnacentral:rRNA from 1 species